rnacentral:rRNA from 1 species
UACAGAGGUCUCAAGCGUUGUUCGGAUUCAUUGGGCGUAAAGGGUGCGUAGGCGGCGCGGUAAGUCGGGUGUGAAAUCUCGGAGCUUAACUCCGAAACUGCAUUCGAUACUGCCGUGCUUGAGGACUGGAGAGGAGACUGGAAUUUACGGUGUAGCGGUGAAAUGCGUAGAUAUCUGGAGGAACACCGGUGGCGAAGGCGGCAUCCUGGACCAUUACUGACGCUGAGGAGCGAAAGCCAGGGGAGCAAACGGG